rnacentral:rRNA from 1 species
GCUGGCGGCAGGCCUAACACAUGCAAGUCGAGCGGUAACAUUUCUAGCUUGCUAGAAGAUGACGAGCGGCGGACGGGUGAGUAACGCGUAGAAAUCUACCUAGUAGUGGGGGAUAGCCCAGAGAAAUUUGGAUUAAUACCGCAUACGCCCUACGGGGGAAAGCCGGGGGAUCUUCGGACCUCGUGCUAUUAGAUGAGUCUGCGUCGGAUUAGCUUGUUGGUGAGGUAAUGGCUCACCAAGGCGACGAUCCGUAGCUGGUCUGAGAGGAUGACCAGCCACACUGGAACUGAGACACGGUCCAGACUCCUACGGGAGGCAGCAGUGGGGAAUAUUGCACAAUGGGCGCAAGCCUGAUGCAGCCAUGCCGCGUGUGUGAAGAAGGCCUUAGGGUUGUAAAGCACUUUCAGCAGUGAGGAAAGGGGUGUCGUUAAUAGCGCCAUCCUGUGACGUUAACUGCAGAAGAAGGACCGGCUAACUCCGUG